UGGGGAAUAUUGGACAAUGGGCGCAAGCCUGAUCCAGCCAUGCCGCGUGAGUGACGAAGGCCUUAGGGUUGUAAAGCUCUUUCGGCGGGGAAGAUAAUGACGGUACCCGCAGAAGAAGCCCCGGCUAACUCUGUGCCAGCAGCCGCGGUAAUACAGAGGGGGCAAGCGUUGUUCGGAAUCACUGGGCGUAAAGCGCACGUAGGUGGAUAGUUAAGUUCGGGGUGAAAUCCCAGGGCUCAACCCUGGAACUGCCUCGGAUACUGGCUAUCUCGAGUCCGGAAGAGGUGAGUGGAAUUCCUAGUGUAGAGGUGAAAUUCGUAGAUAUCGGGAGGAACACCUGAGGCGAAGGCGGGCUACUGGGCUGAUACUGACGCUGAGGCGCGAAAGCUAGGGGAGCAAACGGGAUUAGAUACCCCCGUAGUCCCUGAGCGGGCUGGCAAGGCGCAU
rnacentral:rRNA from 1 species